UACGUAGGGGGCAAGCGUUGUCCGGAUUUAUUGGGCGUAAAGAGCGUGUAGGCGGCCUUACAGGUCAGCUGUGAAAACUCGAGGCUCAACCUCGAGACGUCGGUUGAAACCGUAAGGCUAGAGUCCGGAAGAGGAGAGUGGAAUUCCCGGUGUAGCGGUGAAAUGCGCAGGUAUCGGGAAGAACACCAAUAAAGGCGAAGGCAGUUAACUAUUCUAUUCCUGACAUUGAGGCAUGAAAGCGUGGGGAGCAAAACGG
rnacentral:rRNA from 1 species